rnacentral:lncRNA from 1 species
UUGCUGGGCUCGGGUGAGCAUAGCUUAGUACGAAAUGGGCUCUUGUGCGCUAGGGCUUGGGCACACUAUUGCUGCUAGUUAAAGGGUGGAAAAGUAGAGAGAAUCAUGGUGAAGAAUUCGUUUUUUUAUCCUAUAGUAGAUAGCACAAGUCCUUAGAAUAAGGUCUCGAUGCAAAAGCAGUGGUGGGAAAGGAAGUCCCAUCUGAACUACCUUCUUCCUAGGAUUAUUCUCAAUCAAGAAAGUUUAAGUUAUGUUCUCUAAGUUAAGGAGCUAUACGUUUUUUCCUUCAUCUCUUUCAUGAUAUAAGGUAAGAUAGUAGUUCAUACUUUUCACACUCAAGUGUGUUUACCCUAUCUCCGUGGACCUCCUUUUUAGGACAGCACCCUUUACAGACAUGGUUCUAGGUGCUAGCUACCUUACCCAUGUUCGACCCAGCGCUUUUAAGCGAGCAAGCCACUUCUCAACAAGUUACCGUUUUUUCAUAACUAAGGUCUUCAUCCGCCUAAUUGUAAUUUGAUGGACUUCUUCACUUCUACUUCAUAACCUUGAUUGAAGGCCAACUACAGAUAAGUAACAACUUCUUGAUACCAUUCGCGCGAUCUCCCAAAUAGCACCUGUUUACCAUAGGCAUGGGGAGAAAGAGGAAAUAAGAUGGAUUUACAACCCUAGGUAACAGUUAAAAAAGAGCGUGUCGCAAGUGAGUUCUGAUCGAAGGUGAGCACCAAGUUCCCAUCAGGAGCAAAGGCAGUUCUUUCCAGAUCCAGGAAACACAAACACUACACUUGGAUUGGGCUCUGUAGCUUGGCAUGUGUAGCUGCAAGCUGGAACAUCUAGGCUUGCACGUGGGGAGGCCCACGUAGUUUUCUAACCGGUGUAGCGCACUGGGUUCGUGCAUGGGAAGUCCUGAUGUGCUAGAGAUGCCCCUUGUUUGGGCCUUUGAAGCUCGUCUGUUGCGCGCUUGAGGUCAAUGCCUUGGGCCUCCAAGUAGGUUCCUAGAUCCUACACUCUUUGUCUCCGCAUAGGGCUAGCGUCAUGGCCUACUUUUGGCUGAUGCUUGUUUAGGCUUUCAAGCCAUCUCCAAAUCAUCAAACUUUGUUGGACUGCAAUGUGGGCUACAGAUGUCGUAGCAACCACGAUUGCCAUCUGAAAACCUUGGUACGUAAGAAGCAUUGUUCGUUGUGGUUUUGGAAUUAUUCGUUGUCGUAUUUCUUCCCCAGGGCUAUUUCAAAGAAUUUAUAAAUUCUAAGAAUAGGAACGUGUGGAAAAUUUAUGUAUAAACGAAAAAUUUGAAACGUUGAAAGUGAGAGUCUUCUUCGAGCAUUUGAAUCAAACUCUCAAUGAAGGCACCAAUUUGUGGAUGCAAAUUUAUGUCGUCCUUUGGUUGGACAAAACAAUCAACACCUUUGAUCAAAGGCCAAAAGCCUAGCGCGCCCAUGAUGAGUGGAGGGUGGGGGAUUUGGUAAAUGGAUCUUUGAUGCCUAAAUUAGUCUUUCUAAAAAGAGUGAGUGUUUGGGUUUUCUGUGUAUAGAAAAGCUUCACCUAUUUUUGGUGGAGAAUUGAGGUAUUUAUAGGGAGUAUGGCUAGCCUUUAGGGUAGGAUUUAGUGAGGAUAUUCCCAAGAUAUUGUGUAAAUAAUGUCUUGGAAUAAUUGUGAAGAUAUCCCAGAAUAAAUGUGGUUAGGAUUACUUGAUAGAGUUUGUCUUCAAUUGAGAAUGUAUUAAUGAUAGGACUUAGGGAUAAUCCUAUCAUUAAAUAUCUUUGACUUUUUCCAUGUGCAGAAUAGCUCUAAGCAGUCGUAGUCCACUGCCUGCAUGUCUAGGGAUGUUGAGUUGGGCGUGCGGAAUUUAAAUAUGCCAUGCUCAUUUAAUAAAGGCAAUCUUGUCUUUCUUGGCUGAAAGUUCACGUGUCACCUCCAGAAUUUUUGGCUCCACAGUCGACAGCUAGGGAAACUUGCUAUGAUGCCAAGAUAAAACUACAGCGUAGGGUUUUAUUGUCAUUAAUUGUUAUUCCUUUCCCGAUAGAGGAAAUAUAGGGAAAUUUUAUUUAAACCCACGUAACCUUUCUUUACACCCAACUUACUCUCUACACCCAGAUUAUUUUCAAUUAAACUCUCAAUAUCUCUUUAAACCUAAAUUUACUACCUAAAUUGCCCUCACAAACCCAAUCAAUAUGUAAAAUUAUCUUUACACCCAUUCAAAAAAUAAAAAAUCAAUUCAAAGCAUAUGUUCUCUCCUCUAAAGUUCUUACCUUCCGACAUAUUCGUCGUAUUUUCUAUCAAUCUUCCAUCGCUUUGCAAGAACACACCUCUCUUAGCAUCAAACACAAAUUUAGCAGAAUUUAAAACCGUCAAACUGUCCAUGUGGACAAUGUUGGAAAUGUGCCCUAAAACCAAUCAUGUGAUGAUACUUUACGGACAUUUCACAUGUUAAACUAAUCUAGUUUAAUAUCAAGGGCAAAGAUUAUUGUUUG